GUGUCAGCCGCCGCGGUAACACGUAGGGGGCAAGCGUUGUCCGGAUUUAUUGGGCGUAAAGAGCUCGUAGGCGGUUCGGUAAGUCGGGUGUGAAACCUCCAGGCUCAACCUGGAGACGCCACCUGAUACUGCUGUGACUCGAGUCCGGUAGGGGAGCGUGGAAUUCCUGGUGUAGCGGUGAAAUGCGCAGAUAUCAGGAGGAACACCAGCGGCGAAGGCGGCGCUCUGGGCCGGAACUGACGCUGAGGAGCGAAAGCGUGGGUAGCAAACAGGAUUAGAAACCCCCGUAGUCC
rnacentral:rRNA from 1 species